ACGAUACCUGUGAUCACAAUAUGUGAAACCUCUGCCUCAGGUCUGGCUAGUACAACAUAGCACUGCCCACGACUACCAACUACCUUAGUGGCCCCACAACUACCCCUACAAGCUCCACUACCUCUAUCCUUCACACCUCUGGUAGCACCGCUGCCUCUCAAUGUUGAAAUAAGAGUAGCCCUAAUCACAUAGUGGGGGCAGUCCUUGGCCAAAUAUCCAACCUCAUGACGUACAUAACAAGUCCG
rnacentral:lncRNA from 1 species